AGUGAACGCUGGCGGUAGGCCUAACACAUGCAAGUCGAACGGCAGCACAGUAAGAGCUUGCUCUUACGGGUGGCGAGUGGCGGACGGGUGAGGAAUACAUCGGAAUCUACUUUUUCGUGGGGGAUAACGUAGGGAAACUUACGCUAAUACCGCAUACGACCUACGGGUUAAAGCAGGGGAUCUUCGGACCUUGCGCGAUUGAAUGAGCCGAUGUCGGAUUAGCUAGUUGGCGGGGUAAAGGCCCACCAAGGCGACGAUCCGUAGCUGGUCUGAGAGGAUGAUCAGUCACACUGGAACUGAGACACGGUCCAGACUCCUACGGGAGGCAGCAGUGGGGAAUAUUGGACAAUGGGCGCAAGCCUGAUCCAGCCAUACCGCGUGGGUGAAGAAGGCCUUCGGGUUGUAAAGCCCUUUUGUUGGGAAAGAAAAGCAGCAGGUUAAUACCCCGCUGUUCUGACGGUACCCAAAGAAUAAGCACCGGCUAACUUCGUG
rnacentral:rRNA from 1 species